UACGUAGGGGGCAAGCGUUGUCCGGAAUCAUUGGGCGUAAAGAGCGUGUAGGCGGCUCGGUAAGUCCGCUCUGAAAGCCCGGGGCUCAACCCCGGGAGGCGGGCGGAUACUGUCGGGCUAGAGUCCGGAAGAGGAGUGUGGAAUUCCCGGUGUAGCGGUGAAAUGCGCAGAUAUCGGGAAGAACACCCGUGGCGAAGGCGGCACUCUGGGACGGUACUGACGCUGAGGCUCGAAAGCGUGGGGAGCAAACAGG
rnacentral:rRNA from 1 species